GCAAUUCUUAAGGCUUCUGCCUUGAAAUGACAGUGUGUGAGAGAACAGCAGGAAGACUACUCGAUGUUGAAUUUCCUGCCACCAAACUCAGAGUGUAGUGUGUAAGGAGCAUGGAAAUCAUUUUAUCUUAACAAGAAGUAAAAAGCUGAACAAACUGGAAAAUCAACAACUCUUCUUAAAGAUCUGUAAGAGAAGUGAGACACAAGAAAAACCACUGCCCCCAAACUGGAAAGACAGACAGGUGGAUACAGAGAAUCACAACUUGCUGAAAGCAGAAACCCAUAAGCACAAACCUCUGUGAAAACCUGUGUCCGGGUAAGGAAG
rnacentral:lncRNA from 1 species